UACGUAGGGGGCUAGCGUUGUUCGGAAUUACUGGGCGUAAAGGGCGCGUAGGCGGUGCGUCAAGUCAGGCGUGAAAGCCCCGGGCUCAACCUGGGAACCGCGCUUGAGACUGGAGUACUAGAGUUCGGGAGAGGAUGGUGGAAUUCCCAGUGUAGAGGUGAAAUUCGUAGAUAUUGGGAAGAACACCGAUGGCGAAGGCAGCCAUCUGGACCGACACUGACGCUGAGGCGCGAAAGCGUGGGGAGCAAACAGG
rnacentral:rRNA from 1 species